rnacentral:rRNA from 1 species
CGGACGGGUGAGUAACGCGUGGAAAACCUGCCGUAUACUGGGGGAUAACACUUAGAAAUAGGUGCUAAUACCGCAUAAGCGCACAGUCUCGCAUGGGACAGUGUGAAAAACUGAGGUGGUGUGAGAUGGAUCCGCGUCUGAUUAGGCAGUUGGCGGGGUAACGGCCCACCAAACCGACGAUCAGUAGCCGGCCUGAGAGGGUGAACGGCCACAUUGGGACUGAGACACGGCCCAAACUCCUACGGAAGGCAGCAG